rnacentral:lncRNA from 1 species
GGCGGAAGGAGCGGGAAGCACAGGUGGGCGCCCUUCGAACAACCGAACAACGCGGCAGAGGGAAGGUUUGUUCCCUGCGAGACCGUGGGGAGCCCAGAGCUGGACAGAAAGACCUGAGCGUGAAAUGCGAGGCAGGAUGGAGAACUCAAACAUGAUUUCUGAACUGACUGACUGCACAAGAAACAAAAAUCC